rnacentral:rRNA from 1 species
GACAGAGGUUGCAAACGUUGUUCGGAAUUACUGGGCAUAAAGCGCACGUAGGUGGUCCGCUAAGUCGGAUGUGAAAUUCCCCGGCUCAACCGGGGAACGGCAAUCGAUACUGGCGGGCUUGAGGUCCGGAGGGGUGAGUGGAACUCCUGGUGGAGCGGUGAAAUGCGUAGAUAUCAGGAGGAACACCGGUGGCGAAAGCAGCUCACUGGACCUGAUCUGACUCUGAGGUGCGAAAGCUAGGGUAGCAAACGGG